rnacentral:lncRNA from 1 species
GAAGACCCUACUCAGUGGUUUUGUUCGAUGAGAUCGAGAAAGCCCAUCCUGAUGUCUUCAACAUCCUGCUGCAGCUUCUCGACGAUGGAAGGAUAACUGAUUCUCAAGGGAGGAGAGUGAGUUUCACAAACUGUGUUGUGAUUAUGACCUCUAAUAUAGGAUCCCACCACAUACUCGAGACUCUCGGAAACAGUGAAGACGGCAAAGAAGCAGUGUAUGAGUUGAUGAAGCGGCAGGUUGUGGACUUGGCAAGACAAACUUUCAGGCCAGAGUUCAUGAACAGGAUCGAUGAGUACAUAGUCUUUCAGCCGCUAGAUUCGAAGGAAAUCUCCAAAAUCGUUGAGUUGCAGGUAAUUAUAAUUAUUAACUUGUAUACACCCCAAUUUGGUUUGGUAUUUGAUGUAUUGUAACCAUGUGGUGUAGCUGGAACGAGUGAAGAACAGGAUGGAACAGAAGAAAAUAAAGCUUCAGUACACAAAAGAAGCAGUGGAUCUUCUUUCUCAGCUUGGGUUUGAUCCCAACUAUGGGGCAAGGCCUGUUAAGAGAGUGAUCCAACAGAUGGUAGAGAAUGAGAUCGCCGUUGAAGUUUUGAAAGGGGAUUUUGCAGAGGAAGACACUAUCCUCCUCGAUGUUGACCAGACAAGCAACAAAUUGGUCAUCAAGAAGCUCGAGAACAAUGCUCCUAUCGAAGAAAUGGCAGCUUGAUUAUACUAUAAACAAGCGUUUUUGUAACUUUUUGUUCUAUGUUCUGUAGAUUCAGCUCUGUUUUCUGACACGUGCGGAUGGAUGAUGUUUAAAAGUUUUAUCUCCUGCCGACAGAAGCAACAGACCUACUUCUUUGUCCAUAAGCAUUUUGAAUUAACACCAGGAGCAGUGAGUAACGUGUUAUGAUAAUUCAUGGAGAGUUCGUUGGCGAGAACUCCGAAGAGCUUUUCAUUACAAAAGAAAUUGAUAUUCUAACAGAAACUGUUUUUACAACUAAGUAUUGAAAUAAUUUUUAAUCUAUAAUUGACAAGUGUUUGUUGGGUUUUCAUAACUUUCUCCUAAAACCGAUUUUCACUUUAUUUUUAAUUUAGUCUUGAGGACAUUUUCUUAUAUAUUUUCAAAAGAAAUGUUCUUACUAAUCUAACUAGGUUAAGACUCGCGUCUUUCGCGGAAUGAACAUUAUAUAUAUAAAUUAUUUUAUAUGUUAUAUGUUUAUAACAUAUUAUGAAAUAAUAAAUAUAUAUCUAUACUAUUAAAAGGGAAUCACUCCUAAAAAAUCUACUUAAACAAAGUUGUUGGACAAUUUCAUUAGAUUUAACUAUUAAUUUGGUCUUAACUUAUAUUUCUCUAACUAUAUAAAUACUUUACAUAAUUUAAAUGAAUUCAUUUAUUAUUUUCUCAUAAUCUAUUAUCUAACAAUAAAUCCAUAUGAAUAUAUGAUAGAUUAUUCAAAUGUGAUCAUUACCACAUAUAAUUCUAUUAAUAGUAUAAAUUUUUAAUGGUUUAGUUAUGUUUAAUAGGUAUAUAAUUUGUAUUUUAAAAUUUUAAGUACUCAUUUGGUCCUUACUUUGGUUUCUAUUUUUUCUAUGCUCGAUUAUUUAUGAAAUUCAACUUAAUUUUGAGUUUUUUUUUUCCAGUUUGGUACGGUUCAGUGCACUCGGGUAAAUGUACUCAAACUUAUACAUUAUCUCUUAUAUAAGACAGUAAUUCAUACUCGUUUUUAAAAAUUCAAAAUAUAAUAUAAAUAUAUUUUUUUAAAAUUUUUAUUAUAUGGUUACUAUGAUUGUUUAAUUUAUUUUAAUAGUUUAAAAUUAAACAAAUAUAAUUAUAAUACACACUUAUUUUUAUCAAAUUUUUAUUAUUCAAAAUCAUUAAUUGUCAUAUAUACUUUAGCCACAUUAGGCAAUUCUGUAAUCUUAUUUAAGGAAAUAAUAAAGCACAUUAAUAAUGUAUUUAUUGUGGUUUAAUAAAAAAAUUAUUAUAUAUUUAGGUGGACCAACCUAUUUUUCUAUGGAUUCUAAAAAUCAUUUUAGUAAUGACACGUGGAUACAAAAAAAUGUUGCAUUGCUUCUCAAAUAAUAUAUAGUGGAUUUUUAUGAGAUGAACUUGAGAAAUCUAACAAAAUCAAAUCAAAAUCAAAUCGGAGAAACGAUUUAAUAAAUUAAAUUAAACACAUUCUCAUAUCGCUAGAAUUGAAUCGGAUCCCUUCUGUUUAAUAGCCUCCGACAUUGAAAUCUUUGUUUAUUUUUUAUAGUUCUCUUAGUAAUUCUAUUGUCUGGUCAUUAAUUGAGCGAAUAACACUCUCAUUAAUGAUAGUUUAGCUUACUAACUAGUUAGUGACUUUGAAAUGUCAGUCGUGUCUUUUAAUGGGGAAACAAUCUGAUACAUCUGGCUUAGCCUCUUAAACAAUUGAAUUUUCAACUUUCAAUUUAGUCUACCAUCUUUUUAUCUGGUUCAACAACUGAUUCAUAUGUUCUAAACUCUAAAGGUUAAAGUUACUUUACGCGUUAAAAAAUGUCAAUAAACUAAAAAGAAAUAGACCAUGUAACUAAGUUUCCAAGCCCUAGGCAUGAGUGGACCUACUUGCAAUCAAAGGGGUUCAAUUGACACCCCAUAAAUUUUUUUUUCUCCUCGUAUUUUUAGAUUUACGGUACUAAAUUUGAACCAGUUCGUUCGCCUAUGUUUUUGACAACGACCUUUAUGUUUGACACCUGUUAAAUAAUUCAUCUAGGUCCGCCAGGAUGUAUGUAUGCGUGCACCCUUUUUCCUCCGCCAUUGUAUGCGAAGUUGAUGAAUAUCUGACAUGAGAAUAAGCACGUAAGUGGACUUGGAUUUUAUGUGAUGAUGAUGAUAAUGACGAUGAUGAUGGAACUCGACUCUUGGGUAUAAAAGGUGCAGUAAAGAGCUUGGCCCCAUCACAGUGAGAGUUUGAAGUUCUUUUGUGAUCCAUCAAGUGUUUGCUGGAAAAAGGUGUGUAGAGAAGUGAUGUUUGAGACUGACUUUAGUCAACUAAUUUGUGUUUUGGACGACCAAAAAAGACUGGUCAGCGUUUUCACCCUUGUUGGUUCAGUUCAGUGUUUUUUCUUUCUACAGUCUUUGCUUCUUUUGCCGUUAACUUUGUUACUCCUUGUAAUAAUAUUUUUUCAUGCUGAUCUCGUAGCAGGGCGCAAGUAGAGCGGUCGAACAGGGCCUCGAAAUAUAAAGAUAAAAAAUUUAAGGAUUUUUCAAAAUAUAUAGAUAAAUUAUGGUAAGAAAUUUUAAAAUUUUAGAUAUAAUGCUAAAUUUAGAACUUAUAAUUAAAAAAAAUCAAACAAAAUUAUUAAAUUUUAAAAUUACGUUAUAAAAUGUACAAUUAAUAUAUUUUUUGAACAGGGCCUAAAAUUAAUUAGAGACGGCCCUGUCUCGUAGCACAAGAGCAUGUGACAGGUUUUUUUUUCCUUCUCAUGUGCUGUGUAAUUGAGUUUGGCAUUUUUUGGAGGUAGCCCUAAAUUUUAAUUAUAUGAAAUUUACGUAACAAACAAACAAAACAAAAAAUGCUCACACGAGCUUAGGACAAGUAAUUAAUAAAAAAAAAAAAAAUCUAUAAAGCUUAUUUACUUUCUCCUCUGUUUUCGCUUCCAAAUAAAAACAGAACAAUUCUUUUGUAUCUCACUCUCUCUCUCUCCUCCAUCAAGCUGCAUACAGCUGAUCGGAGAAAAUGGCCAAGUGUCACCGGAACAAUGUAGAUCCUCUCAUCCUUCACCGCAUUCCCUCCGCUUCUUCCUCCUCCACCUCCUUGAACUCCUUCUCCAGAUCGACAUUCCGCAGAUUGAUCCUGGACGCCAUCAGCUGCGGCGGCAGCUCACGUCAUCAGCGAGAACUCCAACAAGACGAAGAAGAUAAAACGACGAUCGGAGGGGAUGAGUUAGCGACGAAAUCAGAGAAGCUAUGCGAUCUGCUAAACUUAACGAAGAUGGAGACGAAGAAGAUGAAGAAGGAGGAAACGCUGGAGAUUCUGAAACGCGUGGCUAAGGAUUUACAAGCGGAGGGAGAGAAGAAAGUAAUGGCAGCUAGUGAGGUUAGGCUGUUAGCUAAGGAUGACGCCGAGGCGAGAGUGACGCUCGCCAUGCUCGGUGCGAUCCCUCCGCUCGUUAGUAUGAUCGACGAUUCGCAAAAGAACGAAGAUGCUCUGAUUGCUUAUCUCUAUGCUCUUCUCAACCUCGCAAUCGGCAAUGAUGCGUAAGUCUCCAACUGCAUGUUUAAUUAAAACAAUUUGUAACGCUCCGACUGUCCACUGCUAACUAACGAGGUUCCUUUUGAUGCCUUAUUUAUUUUUGCAAGCCUAAUGGACCGAAUAAAAAAAAUGAUAAUUUAAUUUUUUUUUUUCAGGAACAAAGAAGCCAUUGUUAGAGGAGGAGCAGUUCACAAAAUGCUUAAGCUUAUUGAAUCGUCAAAGCCUCCUCCUAACCAAGCAAUCUCCGAGGCUAUCGUGGCGAACUUUCUUGGUUUAAGCGCGUUAGAUUCGAACAAACCGAUCAUCGGUUCCUCUGGAGCGAUCAUCUUCCUAGUGAGAGCCCUGAAAACUAGUAGCUCGCAAGCCAGAGGCUAUGUCGGUUAUGAAGAAGGUGGACAGUUGACUGAAGCUGUUCGUAGAAGACCCUACUCAGUGGUUUUGUUCGAUGAGAUCGAGAAAGCCCAUCCUGAUGUCUUCAACAUCCUGCUGCAGCUUCUCGACGAUGGAAGGAUAACUGAUUCUCAAGGGAGGAGAGUGAGUUUCACAAACUGUGUUGUGAUUAUGACCUCUAAUAUAGGAUCCCACCACAUACUCGAGACUCUCGGAAACAGUGAAGACGGCAAAGAAGCAGUGUAUGAGUUGAUGAAGCGGCAGGUUGUGGACUUGGCAAGACAAACUUUCAGGCCA